rnacentral:rRNA from 1 species
GACGAACGCUGGCGGCGUGCCUAAUACAUGCAAGUCGAACGAACCGCGACUAGGUGCUUGCACUUGGUCAAGGUGAGUGGCGAACGGGCGAGUAACACGUGGGUAACCUACCUCAUAGUGGGGGAUAACAGUCGGAAACGACUGCUAAUACCGCAUAGGACAUGGGAUCACAUGAUUCUGUGAGGAAAGGUGGCGCAAGCUAUCGCUAAGAGAUGGACCCGCGGUGCAUUAGCUAGUUGGUAGGGUAAGGGCCUACCAAGGCGAUGAUGCAUAGCCGACCUGAGAGGGUGAUCGGCCACAUUGGGACUGAGACACGGCCCAAACUCCUACGGGAGGCAGCAGUAGGGAAUCUUCCGCAAUGGACGCAAGUCUGACGGAGCAACGCCGCGUGAGUGAAGAAGGUCUUCGGAUCGUAAAGCUCUGUUGUUAGAGAAGAACAGCGCAUAGAGUAACUGUUAUGCGUGUGACGGUAUCUAACCA